rnacentral:lncRNA from 1 species
UAGCUUGGUAUCUGGACUUGAGCCUCAUGGUGAAAACCUGUCCAUCCACACAACUUGCACACCUGCCCAAUCCCAGUGUGAGGGUCCUGCAGAAGCACAAGGACCCUGUCACAUAGCCAUGGCUUGUAGGCAUUUUCAGAUGUGGUCCUUGACAGAAGAAGAGCAUAGGAGAGAAUUUAUACAAGGAGAGCCAAGCUAUGCCUAUAAAAUGGAUUUUGACUGAUCAAGCGGAUUGCUCCUGCAUAGAAAAGCUUUGCAGAGUCUACAACAAUCUGCUUCUCUUCCACGUUAAGAGCCUCCUACAGAGUGUUCUCUGUCUCAGAUGCCUCUGUGUCCAAGAAGGCAGCUGCCAAGGGAUGCACUGCUGGCUCUGCCCUGAGUUCUGCGUCAUCCUGGAGUUACCGAUGUGGUGCAGGGAGAAGGGUUGGCUGCUGAGAACACUAUACCUUGCCAAAAUGGAUGGGGAUGAGAAACAAGCCAGCUCGAUAGUGCCCCCAGUCUUCAAGCAACCAGAACUGCUUCUGAACAUGGUGCAGCAGGAGUGUUUUCUCCUAGCACUAUUCACACUGCUUACCAACAUAUGAAGACCUUUUGCUGCAAGCUCACACAGGCUUCCUGACAUCUGGAUCUUCUAUUACUAGCCCUCUUCUGGGGGAAUAAAUUUUUCCUAAUAUCCA